CCUACGGGGGGCAGCAGUGAGGAAUAUUGGUCAAUGGCCGGAAGGCUGAACCAGCCAUGCCGCGUGAAGGUCAGUUCCCUAUGGGCGUUAAACUUCUUUUGUGCGGGAGCAAUAAUGGUCACGUGUGGCCAGACGAGAGUACCGUACGAAUAAGCAUCGGCUAACUCCGUCCCAGCAGCCGCGGUAAUACGGGGGAUGCAAGGGUUUUCCGGUUUUAUUGGGUUUAAAGGGUGCUUAGGCGGUCCGGAAAGUCAGCGGGAAAAGCCCGGGGCUCAAUCCCGGCGAGCCGUUGAAACUGUCGGACUAGAGACGGCGAGAAGUACGCGGAAUGCGCGGUGUAGCGGUGAAAUGCAUAGAUAUCGCGCAGAACUCCGAUUGCGAAGGCAGCGUACCG
rnacentral:rRNA from 1 species